rnacentral:rRNA from 1 species
UGAAAGGCCGCGGUAUAGUGACCGUGCGAAGGUAGCAUAAUCAUUAGUCCUUUAAUUGGGGGCUUGUAUGAAGGGUUGGACGAGAAAUUAGCUGUCUUUAUAAAAAAAGCUAGAAUUUAACUUUUAAGUGAGAAGGCUUAAAUAAUCUAAGGGGACGAUAAGACCCUAUAAAGUUUAACAUAUUUGUUAUUAAAAAAAAAAAAGGUAAAUUUUAUUAGGUUAAGAAAUUGUUUGGUUGGGGCGACUAGGAUAUAAAUAAUUUAACUGUUCUAUAUUAUAAAGAGGGAUAUCUGUGUUCUUGAACCUUAUUAGAGAUAAUAGAAUAAAUUACUUUAGGGAUAACAGCGUAAUUUUUUUUGAGAGUUCUUAUCGACAGAAAAGUUUGCGACCUCGAUGUUGAAGUUAAUAGAAUUCUUUGUAGCGAAGAGGUUACAGAAGAAGGUCUGUUCGACCUUUAAAUCUUUACAUGAUUUGAGUUC